GCUCCCUUUGGCAGUACAUAUACUAAAAUCGGAACAAUACAGAGGUUAGGAUGGCCCCUGUGCAAGGAUGAUAUGCAAAGUCAUGAAGCAGUCCAUAGUUUU